GUAUCCUUGGUGACGUUGAGGGAUUCCCUCUCCCACUGAAAUGGACCAGAAGCUCACCUCGCAGAGGGAUAAUAAUAGAUGUUUUUUUUUAAUACUAUCACAGGCACGAGAUAUUUCUCACCGUCUGACAAUUUCUGAGAGGAAAUUUUAAGAAACUUUAGUGCGAUAAAUAUGGAAAGUAUCUAUUUAGGACUAUAUGCGUCUGUCUAGUCUGGAACAUUUAUUGGGUCAUGGCUACGUCAGGUGAUGAUAUGUCUAUAUGUCUACAGUCAUGUCUAUAAGCUUCUCAGGAGUGAUUUUGCGUUCAAUUAGCUGAAAUCAACGGCUCGUGUAUGGACUUAAACAUUAUUAUUAAUUACAGAUAAAUAAGAAACGCGAAGUUUAAAAACUGUUGUCUAUACAUCGCCGUUUGAAUGACGUGUAGAAUAUAAACUGGGACACACCAGGAGCUAUGCAAUGCCUUAUUUAUACAUAACGUCAUGUCUCUCUGGGACGGAAUCCCGUCAGGCAUGCAAGGGAAAUCCUGCUGAAAACUUUCUCAAGACACGCCCUAAGGGAGUCCUCUGAACUUGAGAGCCAUGUCUAAUGGGAGGAAAGCCUCUUUUUCAACUGUGUCUGAACACUCGCUAAACCUGAACUAAGGCUGCCAAGUAUGAAAUUACCGCAGGUUGAAAAAGACUCUCAAACUGUAUUAAUGCAUCACCAGUCAUCCAGUAGGAUUUUAGGCUGCAUAUUCAUGGAUUUUAGUGUAGUCGAGACUCAGCUUAAGUAUCAGCAGCGGCCUCAACAUGCCCACAAGAAAGAAAAAAGAAAAAUAAACACACAAAUUGGUAAACAGCAGUGUAAUUCUGUCAUGGACAGUGGGCAGCAAUGACGGAAAUCGGCGCCUGUCAUUGCAAACAUCACCCGGCCCGAGCAGAAAGUGAUUCAUUAUUAUAGCCUACAUGCAGUGGGAAUGUGGCAGGUGGGAGGUUGGCUUUGGUUGGAGGGGGGUUGCUCCACGGGCAAAAUGCGGGAAGACUGGGUGGCAAAUCAUGAAUGAAAAUCUUGAAAUACAAGGCCUACGUUUUGUGGUUGUGAUGUCAAACAAUGUUACGGGGCGGGCAUGCUGCUGUGUACGGGCUUACAGCUACGGUCGAUGUGUGAAAAGGCGUGAGCAAGAAGGGAAGAGUUGGGGAUAACAAGUUAUUAGUCAGAGCUACAACAACGUCAGAGACGAGGAUCCACGGAGGACGUUGUGUCCCAUCCGAGCUGCCGUUCUCUGCUGCUGAACCUGGGAUGACUAACUCCGUCGAUAAAUGACAGCAUACGGUGGUCUGCUGAGUCCACGUGGAGUCCCUCUUCACAAGAUCAGAAACUGAAGCAGCCACUAUGAAGGACCGACAGGUGGACACACACAGCAGAGAGAGGAAGGAUCAGAAACCGAGGGUCAAAAAUGUGUUCAGGUCCAGUGUUUCCAGUCUUGGAGAAGAUGCGAAUAAAGAAAUCUCCAGGCUGGUUGGGUCGAUAGGUGGACGCCACCAUGACAUAGUUACCCG